rnacentral:rRNA from 1 species
AACGAACGCUGGCGGCAGGCUUAACACAUGCAAGUCGAGCGCCCCUCCCUGGGAGCGGCAGACGGGUGUUGAACGCGUGGGAAUCUACCCAUCUCUACGGAAUAACGCAUGGAAACGUGUGCUAAUACCGUAUACGUCCUUCGGGAGAAAGAUUUAUCGGAGAUGGAUGAGCCCGCGUUGGAUUAGCUAGUUGGUGGGGUAAAGGCCUACCAAGGCGACGAUCCAUAGCUGGUCUGAGAGGAUGAUCAGCCACACUGGGACUGAGACACGGCCCAGACUCCUACGGGAGGCAGCAGUGGGGAAUAUUGGACAAUGGGCGCAAGCCUGAUCCAGCCAUGCCGCGUGAGUGAUGAAGGCCCUAGGGUUGUAAAGCUCUUUCACCGGUGAAGAUAAUGACGGUAACCGGAGAAGAAGCCCCGGCUAACUUCGUGCCAGCAGCCGCGGUAACAC